rnacentral:misc_RNA from 1 species
UGGCUCUCGCAUCGAUGAAGAACGCAGCGAAAUGCGAUAAGUAAUGUGAAUUGCAGAAUUCAGUGAAUCAUCGAAUCUUUGAACGCACCUUGCGCUCCUUGGUAUUCCAUGGAGCAUGCCUGUUUGAGUGUCGCGAUACACCUCACCCCUGUGUCUUUCUCGGGAGACGCUAGCGGUGGACCUUGGACCGUGCCGUGCUUCGGCGGCUCGUCCCGAAAUGCAUUAGCCGGUGCUGCUUAGGGUUGCUUGUGGCUGGCGGUGUGAUAAUUAUCGGCGCCGUGACCUGCCUUAUGGGACCCUUCUGUCUGCGCUGCUUCCAGCCGUCCCUCCUGGGACAACUUUAAUGCUCUGGCCUCAAAUCAGGUAGGACUACCCGCUGA